GAACGUUCCAUCAGAGCUUCCAUCUGUCUGCUGCUCGGUGUGUGGGAUGUCGGAGGCCACCUGAACGCAGCACGGACUCACCUGCCUCCCCAGGUGAGCUGAAUGAGUGUGACGAGCUGCUGGAGGUGCAGCUGUGAUAUAAAAGCAGAGCAGCUGCAGCUCCAGCUCACAGCUUCUGUCUGCAGCAGCCUCCUCACUGCUGAUCAACCUGCUGGAGCUGAACUCUGUGGCCUCGGCUUCUUCUCACAGCUGGACAUGCUGCUGGAAUCUGUUCUCAGGGUCUCCUGGAUCUGCUUCCUGCUCCUCAGCUCUGGAGCUUGUUACCCUUUUCUAAUUAAAGGUCAAACAGGUUCUGGAGGAGCUGGUGGAGGAACUGGAGGAGGAGCUGGCUCUGGUGGCUCUGGGGGAUCUGGUGGUUCAGGAGGCUCUGGUUUCUUCAGCAGUUCUUUGCCCUUUGGAUUUGCAGGAUUUACUCCUUUGAUUAACUACCCACAGGGGUUCUCCUACGAUAUAAAUGACUUGAGACCAAGGUUUGUCCGUCUCCCAGACCCCUCAGUCUGGAUCCCUGAUAACAUUCCCACCGACCCCUUCCCAUUGGUUGUUCGUGGUCCUACGUCCUACAUCGUCCAGUCCAGUAAUGGCUACCAGCGAGCCAGAGAACUCCUCUCCCACUCUAAAUACUCCCCAGAUGACUUUGGCCCGUUUUUCUCUCCGGUGAACCCGGGAGAUCCCAGCCAAGGACCUGGAACAGGAACUGGAACCAAGGUCUAAGGAGGUGGAACUGAUCAGCAGAACCUCCAAGAAACUACAAAGUGAUCUUUAAUAAACCUAAAGUAAACCAUGAAUCUGAGUUUGU
ensembl:lncRNA